UUAGCUCGCAUUUUAUCUGGCUGGUACCU
rnacentral:piRNA from 1 species